CUCACAGGGGAACAGGAGGCCACAGGGGAGGCAGUGUCUGUCAGCCCUCCAGGUCUAGUUUGACCUCACAGGGGAACAGGAGGCCACAGGGGAGGCAGUGUCUGUCAGCCCUCCAGGUCUAGUUUGACCUCACAGGGGAACAGGAGGCCCACAGGGGAGGCAUUCUGUCAGCCCUCCAGGUCUAGUUUGACCUCACAGGGGAAUAGGAGGCCCACGGGGGAAUAGGGGGCCACAGGGGAACAGGACAGUGUCUGUCAGCCCUCCAGGUCUAGUUUGACCUCACAGAGGAACAGGAGGCCACAGGGGAACAGGACAGUGUCUCCAGGUCUAGUUUGACCUCACAUCUCCCUGGUUAAAUGGAACUGGGGGGGGAACAGGACAGUGUCUGUCAGCCCUCCAGGUCUCGUUUGACCUCACAUCUCCCUGGUUAAAUGGAACUGGACUCGUCACUCGCUGCUUCUCAAUGUUUUAUGGAGUGUCUGUAUGUUAUUAUUUGAUCACAUUUUAAAACUACUUAUGUGUUGACCUCUAAAUACCCUGUGAACUAUUUUGAUUGAGAAUAAAUACAAAUAAUAAAUAGAUUUAUGUCAAA